rnacentral:tRNA from 1 species
UCUAAUAUGGCAGAAUAGUGCGACAAACUUAAAAUUUGUACAUAAAGAUUUUUAAUCUUUUAUUAGA